UACGGAGGGUGCAAGCGUUAUCCGGAUUUACUGGGCUUAAAGGGUGUGUAGGCGGACUUUUAAGUCAGCGGUGAAAUCUCCGGGCUCAACCCGGAAACUGCCAUUGAUACUAUUGGUCUUGAAUAUUGUGGAGGUGAGCGGAAUAUGUCAUGUAGCGGUGAAAUGCUUAGAUAUGACAUAGAACACCAAUUGCGAAGGCAGCUCACUACACAAUCAUUGACGCUGAGGCACGAAAGCGUGGGGAUCAAACAGG
rnacentral:rRNA from 1 species